rnacentral:misc_RNA from 1 species
AACCAUAGAAACCUGCGGAGUACCUGCGGAGGGAUCAUUACAAGUGACCCCGGUUUACCACCGGGAUGUUCAUAACCCUUUGUUGUCCGACUCUGUUGCCUCCGGGGCGACCCUGCCUUCGGGCGGGGGCUCCGGGUGGACACUUCAAACUCUUGCGUAACUUUGCAGUCUGAGUAAACUUAAUUAAUAAAUUAAAACUUUCAGCAACGGAUCU